rnacentral:misc_RNA from 1 species
GAUGAAGAACGUAGCGAAAUGCGAUAAGUAAUGUGAAUUGCAGAAUUCAGUGAAUCAUCGAAUCUUUGAACGCACAUUGCGCCCGCCAGUAUUCUGGCGGGCAUGCCUGUUCGAGCGUCAUUUCAACCAUCAAGCCCCAGGCUUGUGUUGGAGCCCUGCGGCUGCCGCAGCCUCCCAAAACCAGUGGCGGGCUCGCUAUCACACCGAGUGCAGUAGUUUACUCUUCGCUCAGGGCGUGUGGCGGGUGCUAGCCGUAAAACCCCCAACUUCUCAAGGUUGACCUCGGAUCAGGUAGGAAUACCCGCUGAACUUAAGCAUAUCAAUAAGCGGAGGG